UAGAGAGAGGAUAGCAGAGAGGAAAGAAGAACGAGCGCCCUGUACAAGAAAUCUUCACCAAAGAGACAGAGAUCGAUUAGCUUAACAAAUUGCUGGUUUCGAAUAGUUUCGAACUCGCACAGAGAGAGGAGAGAAGAAGGAGAAGAAGGAGCUCGCCCCCUUGUGGAAUCUCCUCAGCAGAGCAGGUAUUGGGACAAAUUUUAGGGUUUUUCUAGACCCCCUAUACAGAGAGGUAAAGUCUUCUUCUUCUCUUCUAUUUCGUCUUCUUCUCUUCUAUUUCUUCU